UGGGGAAUAUUGCACAAUGGGCGCAAGCCUGAUGCAGCCAUGCCGCGUGUGUGAAGAAGGCCUUCGGGUUGUAAAGCACUUUCAGCGGGGAGGAAGGCGAUAAGGUUAAUAACCUUGUCGAUUGACGUUACCCGCAGAAGAAGCACCGGCUAACUCCGUGCCAGCAGCCGCGGUAAUACGGAGGGUGCAAGCGUUAAUCGGAAUUACUGGGCGUAAAGCGCAAGCAGGCGGUCUGUCAAGUCGGAUGUGAAAUCCCCGGGCUCAACCUGGGAACUGCAUUCGAAACUGGCAGGCUAGAGUCUUGUAGAGGGGGGUAGAAUUCCAGGUGUAGCGGUGAAAUGCGUAGAGAUCAGGAGGAAUACCGGUGGCGAAGGCGGCCCCCUGGACAAAGACUGACGCUAAGGUGCGAAAGCGUGGGGAGCAAACAGG
rnacentral:rRNA from 1 species